rnacentral:rRNA from 1 species
GAUGAACGCUGGCGGCGUGCCUAAUACAUGCAAGUCGAGCGAACAGACGAGGAGCUUGCUCCUCUGACGUUAGCGGCGGACGGGUGAGUAACACGUGGAUAACCUACCUAUAAGACUGGGAUAACUUCGGGAAACCGGAGCUAAUACCGGAUAAUAUAUUGAACCGCAUGGUUCAAUAGUGAAAGACGGUUUUGCUGUCACUUAUAGAUGGAUCCGCGCCGCAUUAGCUAGUUGGUAAGGUAACGGCUUACCAAGGCAACGAUGCGUAGCCGACCUGAGAGGGUGAUCGGCCACACUGGAACUGAGACACGGUCCAGACUCCUACGGGAGGCGGCAGUAGGGAAUCUUCCGCAAAGGGCGAAAGCUUGACGGAGCAACGCCGCGUGAGUGAUGAAGGUCUUCGGAUCGUAAAACUCUGUUAUUAGGGAAGAACAAAUGUGUAAGUAACUAUGCACGUCUUGACGGUACCUAAUCAGAAAGCCACGGCUAACUACGUG